ensembl:misc_RNA Y_RNA Y RNA
CUAUGGUCCAAGUGCAGUGGUGUUUACAAUUCACAACCAGUUACAGAUUUCUUUGUUCCUCCCUCACUCCUACUGCUUCACUUGAUUAGACUUAA